CACACAAGUGUGUAUGCAUGUGUUUCUAUUGUAUUCAUGUGAGUAUAAGUGCAAAUGUGUGUGUGUUCUCUGCACACACAAGUGUAUAGGUAUGUUUGUGUGUGCAUGCAUUGUAUUCAUGUGAGUGUAUGUGAAUGUGUGACUGUGAGAGUUUGAGUGUGCCUGUGUGUCUGGCUAUACUAGUGCGUGCCUGUGUUCGUGUGCAUCAGUCUGGGUGUGCCCGUGUGUGAAUGUGAGUGUCUAUGCGUGGGUGUCCCAAUAUGUGUGUGCCUGUGUAUCCAUGUCUGGGUGUGCCUGUGAGUGUGAGUGUGCACAUGGGUGUCUGGAUAUGUGAGUGCUUGUGACUACCUGUGUGAGUACCCAUGUCUAGGUGUGCCCGUGGGUGUGAGUGUCUGUGCGUGGGUGUCUGGAUACGUAUGUGCCUGUAUGAGUGUGUAUCCAUGUCUGGGUGUGCCCACGGGUGUGAGUGUGAAUAUGUAAGUCUUGCGUGUGCAUGAGUGUGUUCACAUGAGUGUGAGGGUCUGUGCAUAACAGCCUAUUGUGUGAGUGUGUGCAUGUGGAUUGCAUUUAUGUGAGUCCGUGUCUGUGCACGCACGUGUCCCCGCACAAGCCAGCCCGAGAGGGAGUGUCCCCUGAACACACCCUGGCAGCACUUGCAGCGUGACGAGGUUGAGGGAAUGUGUCGCUGAGGUCGUAAAUGCCUCUCGCACGUCCCAACACGCUGGAGCAACAGCAGCCCGUGACGCCGGCCGUGCAGCCGUGAAGUCCGUGGAGCGUCCCUAAUCACUGGGGGUUCUGCUUUGCGGCGACAGCGGUGCUACUCACAGCUCCAGAACUCUGCAGCUUCCCCCCUGAAACGGGAACGGGAAGGUGGCGCGGGCGUCCACACCUCGAGCCACAGCCGGCGGGAGGCACAGGCUGGCAAAACUGCCUCUCAGUAGUGAGAAGAGACAAACAAACCGAACGCCAGGAGCAGAGGAAACGAAGACGAUGUGGCCAAGAAAAAUUGCAUUUUUCUUUCCAGUUUUGCUAAAAUAGCCUUCUCAUUGGCUGCGGCUUUGGAGGUGGCAGAAAUCAUACGUUUAAUCACGGCGCCCUCCUGCUUGCCAAGGUUAGCAGGGGCUGCACUGCUGUGCCCUCCUGUCCCUGGAGGCUCUGGUGGCCCCAAGCCCCACACUGCCAGGCUGGGUGCCAAGCUGCCGUGACCCCGGAAUUCGGCCUGUGGUGAUCGGUCUUCCCUGGCACGGAGCUGAGUUAGGGGCUCUAGAAUCAGUCCCAGCCACGUGAGGCUCUCCCUGGGAUGUGAGGGUCGUCUCGUCUGUUUACACGGGGGCCACAGUGCAGAUCCCAGCCCGGGCAGGGGAGGGGCAAAUCUAUGCCCACUUCAAGCUUCCACUUCUGCCCGCCUCAAAGUGCCGGAGACUCCGGCACCUCUGCGUUCCUCCUUCCCGGUAGGAACAGAAAGCUGGGAAAGGGCUGGGGUGGCAAGGAAGAGCCCCAGGAAGACGCGAGUGGCUCUCCCCACUCCCUACAGGACCUCCCUCCCCCAAGCCCAUGGGCCGCCUUCUCCAGGGACGCUUCCCUGUCCCACCCACCGGGCAAGGUGGGCCCAGCAGGGUCUCCUUUUCACCGUGCGCCCCCUCCUGUGGCCGGGUCCUGGGCUGAUGACUUCACAUGCUGCUUUUACAAGUCAGGUUUAUUGCGGUAUCACGUACACACAUAAGGCUCACCCCUUUUCGAUGCACAGCCGACGACUUGCUUUGCGUCCUCCAGAAUUGUCCUGUGAGUGACUCCCACAGGAUGGAGACUUUUGUGUCUGGCUUCCUUCACUUCGCAGCAGGCUUCGCGGGACCCGUGUGGUGGCACCAGCGUCCCGCCCUUGGUGCUGCUGAGCUGUAGGUUGUGGGACAGGUGGAGGUACACAGUUGCUCACGGGUUCACCUGUGGAUGGGCAUGUGGGCUGUUGUGAGUGAAGCCACUUUAGACAUUUGCGUGCAGGUUUGGUGGGGACGUGCAGUUUCAUUUCUUUUGAGAGUGGGAUUGCUGGAGCCCGUGUUAAGGGUACGUUCAACUCAUCAGCUCAACUGUCUUCCAAAUGGCAGCCCCGUUUUCCACCCCCGCCAGCAACGCCCGCGACUCCAGGCGCGCGGCAUUUUCAUCAGCACCUGGCAGUGGUGAUUCAUAAUGCUUUCAAUGUUAAUUUCCCUCAUGACUAGUGAUGUUAAACAUCUUAGGUAUUAUUUCAUGGGUUAUUUCCAAUCUUUUACCUACUUUUUAGUGGAUUAUAUUUGUCUUCUUAGUAUUGAGUUAUAAGAGUUAAAUAUUGUGGGUACAAGUCCCCUGUCAGAAAUGUGUUUUGUAAAUAAUUUCUUCUAGUCUGUGGUUUGUCUCUUCAUUUUCUUAAGUAUGUCUUUAAAGAGCAGAGGCUUUUGAUUUGGAUAAAGUUCAGUUUGUCAGUUUUUUCUUUUAGGGUUAUGUUUUUGUAUCCUAUCUAAGAAUCUUUGACUAUCAAAUUCUCACAAAGCAGUUUUUUGUUUUCUUCUAGAUGUUUUACGGUUUUAAAUUUUACCUUCAGGUCUACAACCAUUGUGAUUUAGAUUUUGUAUUUAAUGUAAGGUAUAAGUUGAGAUUCAUUUCUCUCUGUUUUUGGAGACUUAUGUCCAGCUAUUCCAGAACCAUUUGUUGGAAAGAGUAUCUUUAUCCCAUCAAGUUAUGUGGGCACUUUGUUGAAAAAGAUCUAUUGACCAUAUAUACAUGCGUUUAUUUCCAAGACUCUAUUUUGUUUUGUUGACUGACUUGUUUGUCCUUAUGACAAUAUCACACUGUUUUGAUUACAGUGGCAUUAUUGUACCUCUUGCAAAAAUCAAGUGUGAAUCUUCCAAAGAAGAUUUGGAAGAUUUUCUCUUUCAAAGUUGUGUGAGUUAUUUAAGUGCCUUUUAAUUUUCAUAUAAGUUUAGAAUUAGCUUGCAGUUUCUAAAAGAAAAAAAAAGUCUGAUGAGACUUUGAUUGUGAUUCCAUUGGAUCUAUAGCUCAGUUUGCAGGGAUUUACAUCUUAACAAUACUGAGUCCUCAAAUCCAUGAACAUGGUACAUCUCUCCAUUUAUUUAGGUCUUCUUGUAUUUUUUCUCAUCAACAUCUUAUAGUUUUAAGUAAACAAAUUUUGCACAUAUUUUGUAAGAUUUAUCAUUAAGUAUUUCAUGUUUGUGAUGUUAUGGUGAAUAUUGUUUUUAAAUUCAAUUUCCUAUUGUCCACUGCUAGUAUAUGGAAAUACAAUUGGUUUUCAUACAUUAACCUUAUGUCCAGCAACUUUGCUAAAUGUAUAAGCUCUUACACAUUUUCUGGUAGAUUGUUUAGGAUUUUCUACAUCGAUGAUCAUGUUGAGUGCAUAUAAAGGCAAUUUUAUGUCUUAUUUCCAAUCUGCAUGCCUUUCACUUCUUUUCCUGGCUUUAUUUCAGUGGCCAGAACCUCUAGCACAGUGUUAAUAAGAGUGAUGAGAGUGACAUUCUGACUUUGUUUCCAGUCUUUCUGCUUCGAUCAUUAUCAUAUUCUUUCUUUUCCUUACUUUGAAUUUAUUGUGCUCUUCCUUUUCUAGGCUUUUAAGGGUAGAAGCUUAGAUUACUGAUUGGAGAACUUUCUUCUUUUCACAUAUAUACAUUUAAUGCUAUAAAUGUUCUUCCAAGCACUGCCUUGCCAGCACCUACAAAUUGUCAUAUGUAUUUUCUUUUUUGCUCAAUUAAUUUUUUUUCUAAUUUCUCUUUGGAUUUUUUGAUCUAUCAGUCAUUUUAAAAUAUGUUCUUUAACUUCCAAAUAUUUGAAGAGACAUACUAUUAAUUUCUGGCUUAAUUCUGUUGUGGCCACAUAUUUCGCAUAACUUCACUUUUUAAAAUUUGUUGAGAUCUGUUUUACGGCCUGGAAUAUGGUCUAUCUUGGUGAAUGCUCCAUGUGCAUUUGUAAAAAAGUGUGUAUUCUGGCCGGGAGUGGUGGCUCACGCCUGUCAUCCCAGCACUUUGGGAGGCCGAGGCGGGUGGAUCACGAGGUCAGGAGAUCAACACCAUCCUAGCCAACACAGUGAAAC
rnacentral:lncRNA from 1 species